CAAGGUAUAGCAAAAUGCACGUAAGUAAUGUUAUAAGAUAACUUAUUACAGUUAAGCUUUAAUUAUUAAUCAGUGAAGCAGUGAUCGAAAUAUUUCUGGAAUAUACUGAUUAGCAUUCAAGAAACAAUAAACAAGUGGUUGAAGUAAUAGUCACUUUGGGUUUAGUGCUGUUGUUUAAAAGUGUCUAUUCCCAGUCAACAUGUCAGUCUGUCACUGAUCAGUAUUUUGUGAAAAUACGGCUAGUUGGAAACCUUCAAAUCAAAACACUGCAAUUAUACGUGAUAAACUAUGUACAUGUUCUCCCAACGUCAUCUGCUUUCUGAAGUACAAGGUUGUUGGAGAGCUUACGGCAGUGUUCGCACUUGACGUCACAAAUGCUGCAGACCUUGAUGAAUGCCUUACCAAUAUUACUAGGAAAGGGUUCACGGACAUUCAAACUUUUCCCUUGGUGAGCUACGCAGCCUUUGCACAAUUCCUUGGAGUUGAAAGUGAUCUGACUGCGAGUGUGGACAAAUCCAUCCUAACAGAUGACAUUCAGGCGUUAUGGUGUGAGGUCAACAUAGAAUUUACUGGUUUAAACAGCACACAAGCGAUGGACCUAUGGAAACGGGAGGCGGAGGCCGUUCUGAACCUGAUUGUAGCUGGUGUUCAUUUGGUUCCCCUGAAACUUUCUGGAGAAAAAACAGUGCACAUCUUUAUCAAGCUGCCAGUUACCGCUGUGGAGGGACCUUUCUUUACAAACCCGUUGUUUGACGAGAAUGGCGACAAGAUGAAGGUCCGCUGUAAAACUGUGUUGCAAAUCAACCAGCCAUGCAUCUGAACAUGUGUCCUCUUUUCGCACAGCUGUAUUUUAUAUACUGUUUGAACAUAAGGAAGCUAAUAAAAUUCAGUAAAAUCCCUGA